GGUUCUGUAGACUCUAAUGUUCUGUAGACUAUAAGGUUCUGUAGACUCUAAGGUUCUGUAGACUCUGCUCUUUAAUGUUCUGUAGACUCUGCUCUUUAAGGUUCUUUAAGGUUAUGUAGACUCUAAGGUUCUGUAGACUCUGCUCUUUAAGGUUCUGUAGACUCUGCUCUUUAAGGUUAUGUAGACUCUCAGGUUCUGUCGACUCUAAUGUUCUGUAGACUAUAAGGUUAUGUAGACUCUGCUCUUUAAGGUUAUUUAAGGUUCUGUAGACUCUGAGGUUCUGUAGACUCUGCUCUUUAAGGUUAUGUAGACUCUGCUCUUUAAAGUUCUGUAGACUCUCAGGUUCUGUAGACUAUAAUGUUCUGUAGACUCUGAUGUUCUGUAUACUCUAAUGUUCUGUAGACCAUAAGGUUCUGUAGACUCUGCUCUUUAAGGUUCUGUAGACUCUGCUCUUUAAGGUUCUGUAGACUCUGCUCUUUAAGGUUCUGUAUACUCUAAUGCUCUGUAGAGUCUACUGUUCUGUAGACUAUAAGGUUCUGUAGACUCUGCUCUUUAAGGUUCUUUAAGGUUCUGUAGACUCUGUUCUUUAAUGUUCUGUAGACUCUGCCCUUUAAUGUUCUGUAGACUCUGUUCUUUAAGGUUCUGUAGACUAUAAGGUUCUGUAUACUCUGCUCUUUAAGAUUAUUUAAGGUUCUGUAGACUGUAAGGUUCUGUAGACUCUUCUUUAAGGUUCUUUAGAGUCUGCUCUUUAAGGUUCUCUAGAAUCUAAGGUUAUUUAGGCUCUAAGGUUCUGUAGACUCUGUUAUUUAAGGUUCUGUA